rnacentral:rRNA from 1 species
UUGGGCACUCUAGAGGGACUGCCGGCGACAAGUCGGAGGAAGUGGGAUGAACGUCAAAUCAUCAUGCCCCUUAUGACCUGGGCUACACACGUGCUACAAUGGGCGGUACAAAGGGCUGCGAACCCGCGAGGGGGAGCCGAAUCCCAAAAAGCCGCUACUCAGUUCGGAUUGCAGGCUGCAACUCGCCUGCAUGAAGCCGGAAUCGCUAGUAAUCGCGGAUCAGCAUGCCGCGGUGAAUACGUUCCCGGGCCUU